GACGAACGCUGGCGGCGUGCUUAACACAUGCAAGUCGAACGGAAAGGCCCUGCUUUUGUGGGGUGCUCGAGUGGCGAACGGGUGAGUAACACGUGAGUAACCUGCCCUUGACUUUGGGAUAACUUCAGGAAACUGGGGCUAAUACAGGAUAGGAGCUCCUGCUGCAUGGUGGGGGUUGGAAAGUUUGGGCGGUUGGGGAUGGACUCGCGGCUUAUCAGCUGGUUGGUGGGGUAGUGGCUUACCAAGGCUUCGACGGGUAGCCGGCCUGAGAGGGUGACCGGCCACAUUGGGACUGAGAUACGGCCCAGACUCCUACGGGAGGCAGAAGUGGGGAAUAUUGCACAAUGGGCGGAAGCCUGGUGCAGCAACGCCGCGUGCGGGAUGACGGCCUUCGGGUUGUAAACCGCUUUCGCCUGUGACGAAGCGUGAGUGACGGUAAUGGGUAAAGAAGCACCGGCUAACUACGUG
rnacentral:rRNA from 1 species